AUGAACGCUGGCGGCGUGCCUAAUACAUGCAAGUCGAGCGAACGGACGAGAAGCUUGCUUCUCUGAUGUUAGCGGCGGACGGGUGAGUAACACGUGGAUAACCUACCUAUAAGACUGGGAUAACUUCGGAAAACCGGAGCUAAUACCGGAUAAUAUUUUGAACCGCAUGGUUCAAAAGUGAAAGACGGUCUUGCUGUCACUUAUAGAUGGAUCCGCGCUGCAUUAGCUAGUUGGUAAGGUAACGGCUUACCAAGGCAACGAUGCAUAGCCGACCUGAGAGGGUGAUCGGCCACACUGGAACUGAGACACGGUCCAGACUCCUACGGGAGGCAGCAGUAGGGAAUCUUCCGCAAAGGGCGAAAGCCUGACGGAGCAACGCCGCGUGAGUGAUGAAGGUCUUCGGAUCGUAAAACUCUGUUAUUAGGGAAGAACAUAUGUGUAAGUAACUGUGCACAUCUUGACGGUACCUAAUCAGAAAGCCACGGCUAACUACGUG
rnacentral:rRNA from 1 species